rnacentral:rRNA from 1 species
GACGAACGCUGGCGGCGUGCUUAACACAUGCAAGUCGAACGAUGAAGCCGGAGCUUGCUCUGGUGAAUUAGUGGCGAACGGGUGAGUAACACGUGAGUAACCUGCCCUUGACUCUGGGAUAACUGCUAGAAAUGGUAGCUAAUACCGGAUACGACCCUCGGCGGCAUCGCCAGGGGGUGGAAAGAAUUUCGGCCAAGGAUGGACUCGCGGCCUAUCAGCUAGUUGGUGAGGUAACGGCUCACCGAGGCGACGACGGGUAGCCGGCCUGAGAGGGUGACCGGCCACACUGGGACUGAGACACGGCCCAGACUCCUACGGGAGGCAGCAGUGGGGAAUAUUGCACAAUGGGCGCAAGCCUGAUGCAGCAACGCCGCGUGAGGGAUGACGGCCUUCGGGUUGUAAACCUCUUUUAGUAGGGAAGAAGCGAAAGUGACGGUACCUGCAGAAAAAGCACCGGCUAACUACGUGCCAGCCGCCGCGGUAA